AGAAACGUUGUGCCAGCGGCGGGGGUAAGUGGGGGGGGGGGGGAGGUAGUGUGAGUUGCAGGGCGUAAAGGGUGCGUGGGCGUUAGAGUAAGUGUGAUGUGAAAGCCACGGGCUUAAGCUGGGAAGUGCAUCGCAAACUAAUUGACUAGAGUAUAUGAGAGGGUGUCGGAAUUGCCGGUGUAGCGGUGAAAAGCGUAGAGAUCGGAAGGAACGUCGAUGGCGAAGGCAGACACCUGGCAUAAUACUGACGCGGAGGCGCGAAAGCGUGGGGAGCGAACAGGAUUAGAUACCCUAGUAGUC
rnacentral:rRNA from 1 species